GUGUCACCCACAAAAUUGUUGCCCCGAGAAGUCCAAUGAAUUUUGUGCUUGAGGCUGCCCAAGUGAAGCCGGAAUUGUGUGCAUGGCCGAGUGUGGAAGAAUUGGGACGUGGACUUGCAUGGGAGAGUUCACGUGAGAUAGAUGCAUGGAGUUCCUGAAAUUGGGACGUGAUGGUGCAUGGGAAUGGCUUACGUGAAUUGCUUUGCAUGGUGAUUUGAAUGGUUCACGUGAAGAAUUGUUUCUUUGCAUGAGAAUUGUGAGUGGCGCACUAUGGUAAAUUGCAUGCAUGGGAAUGCUACGUGAAGCAUGGUAUGGCAUGGGAGAAUGUCAUUUGUGCAUGUGAAAUGGGACGUCACUUGCAUGCAAAUGAAUUAGUGGUGGCGCACUAAAAUUGGUCCAAGUGGAGAGCACGUGGAACUUGGCAUUUGCAUGGGAGAAGUGUGGCGUGGUGGUUUUGCAUGGCAAGUUAAUGGGCGCACUAAAUGGCUUAAUUGUGGAUUGCAUGUGAUGAGCAAUUAGUGGGACAUGUGGCGUUGCAUGAGUGAAGCCAACACUUAGGUGCAUGGGCCAUGUGGCUUGGAGCCAAAUUGCCAAGUAGUGGCGCACCAUGGUGAAGCUCACAUUUGGACGUGGGAAUUGAGUGAGUGGGGCAUGUGGCGCGGCAAAAAGUGGACAAGUCCACUUUACAUGCAUGAAUCAUGCAUGGGCCAUGUGAUGUGAAGAACCAUGCAACGUGAAUUGGUAAGACCAAAAUGCAGCGUGAAGUCCAAGUGGCCAAGAUAGUGGGGCGCAUAUGGGAUUUGCCGAGUGGAAAUUGCAUGGGACCAAGUUGGGGUUUUGCAUGGGACUUGCUAGGUGGCUAGAGGAGAGCACGGCAAGUGGGAUGGAAGGCCAAUUUGCAUGGCCAACUCUUCAGCAUGCAGCGUGAAAUUGUUGGAGGGAAAUGUCCCGCCAAUGGCAAGCCAACUUGGUGGGGCCCGAAGCACUUGGGCGCCCAAUCACUUGGUCCAUAUUCACUCCCGCCCAAUCAGCCUUCAAUUAGUGUCAUUCAAAAUGGUUUGAAGACAGCCACACAAUAUCCAUCAUUUAGGGGCAGCCGGCCAAGCUUG
rnacentral:misc_RNA from 1 species